rnacentral:rRNA from 1 species
GUCUAUGGCCAUGCCACCCUGAAGGUGUCUGAUCUCAUCUGAUCUCAGAAGCUAAGCGGGGUUGGGCCUGGUUAGUAGUUGGAUGGGAGACCCCCUGGAAUAUCAAGUGCUAUAGGCU